CGGUCCGCAGUAAAAGGACCGGGAUGGAGCCAGCGUUCGAUUUUCCAAGGAACGCGGUGCCUGAGAGAGUACGUGCACACGAAUGCACGCGUACGCACGCUAUGGGGAGGGGAAGGGUGUGUGCCGGAGCGACAAGAGGAUUCUGGAAAGGAAGGAGGUGCAGUUUACUGUUUCAACUGUUUUUGUCUUAGGAAAUGAAGAAAUGAAGAGCAUAGAGGAGCGUUUAUGCUGUGGCUUUGUUGCGCGACCUGCUUGGUGCAAGCUUGGCGCUCCCAUUACCUCGCUUUCUGUGCUCAGUCUGCACCGAAGAAAACUUAUUCUCCACUCUCUUCCAGCAAGUCAUUUUCUUCAUGGAGCAUCCUUGACUUUUCUCUCUAUAUCUUAGCUGAAUCCUUUACUUAUACUUCACUUCUCAGUUUAGAGCUAAACUUAAAAAAAAUCUGAACAAAGCGAAUCACAUAUUUUAAAGUCUCAAUUGCUUCAAACUAUGUGUCGGCCCUCUUCUUUUCCUUUAGCUGUGGCAUUUAACUAUUCUGGCAUUAAAACAAUUCAUUAAUUUAUAUGCCACCUGUAGGGCAUUUUCUGAACUCCUGAUUGACCGGGGAGAGCCUAGCCCAUGGUGGGUGGUGCCAUCCCUGGGCUUGUGGUCCUGAGUUCUGUAAGGAAGCGGGCACUGUAAGCCACGAUGAGCAAGCCAGUCAGCAGCCCUCCUCCAGGCCUAUGAACCAGCUUCUGCCUCCAGGUUCCUGCCCUGCUUGAGUUCCUGUCCUCAGGCUUUUGUGAUGAACAGACUGUGAGUGAAAUAAACCUUUUCCUCCACAAACUGCUUCCGAUCAUGGUGCUUCAUCGCGGCAAUAGUAACCCUGACUAAGACACAGUCUAAGCGGUCCCUGGUGGUGGUCACUUCUCAAGGGAGAGUGACCGCACACUUUCCAAAGAAGAGGACGGGCCAAGCAGCCUCUCCAACGCAGCUGUCGGCAGCUUAUUUUAACUGUGUUAUCUUAGGUUGGAGUUCCUCCAUCUGUCUUCUUCCCGUGUAAUCCAAUAUUUCCCAAGUAAGCUUCUUAGGAAAUUCAGCUUAUUUUGACUAAAAACUUUUUGACGUUUUUCUCCUUUUCAGGAGUUGUACAUACUUAACAUAUGUAUAAGUUCUGAAAUAGACUUCUUUCUCACACUUCUUUACACAUCACAAUGCCUCAGACCUAUGGUAAUGACAAAGCCUUCUGUUUGCAGGUGAGGUUUGGAGUUGGCAAGGCUGUUCCUCCGGUCUGUGAAGGAAUGUUGACAGUGUGUGCAAGUUCGAUAUUUACAAAUGAUUGGCCAAUGUGUGCAAAAACUAGCAACUACUGCAGGUCUCUCUUCCUGGAUGUUUAUAGCGGGGAAACUAACUAUAGAGACCUCUUACUUCCUACAGAAUCUAGCUAACCCCUCCUCCUAUGCUUCAGGUGUCCAGGACCACGCUGUGCAGGAGGUGACAGAAGAGGGUGUCAGACAACCUGGAAGUGGAGUUACAGGUGCCAUGUGGAUGCUGGGAUUCAAACUCAUGUCCCUGGCAGGAACAGCCUCUGCUUUAAGCUACUGAACCAUCUUUCCACUCUGUGAGAGUAAACACUAAUAAAAUACAUGGACAAGUUGAUUUUUCAUUUUGUUUGUUUCUUUAUAUAUAUAUAUUUAUAUAUUUAUUGAGAGAAGGUUUUGCUAGAUAACUUAAGCUGCUCUCAAAUGUGGCCUUUUUAUCUUAGCCUCCAAAACGAUACAUGUGUGUAUUACCAAGCCCAGCU